CGGGGUGUGGCGCAGCCUGGCAGCACACCUGCUUUGGGAGCAGGGGGCCGGAGGUUCAAAUCCUCUCACCCCGACCA
rnacentral:tRNA from 1 species